GACAGAGCCAAACAUAAAGAAAUCCCCCAAAGUGUCCAGAAGAGCCCUUAUUAGUAAAUGGAACUCAUGCGGGAGAUUCGAAAGGAUGCUUUUGUCCCUGCAUUUCACCUUGCCAUCCACAUGCAAUUUUUUUUUUCCUUUUUUUUUUUUCCCACAUGCAAUUUUAAAAAGCCACCAUUCCAGCACUCGGGCUGGAGGGAACUGCUAGAAAAUGGGAUGACAAGCCCCUGGUGACUCCUCUGUGUUACCCCAACACCUCCUAGAGGGGAGUGAAACGCAGGGGCAAACAGACCCAGGCCUGUCCUGGCUGUGCUGGAGCCAGCUAGAACGUGGCUCCGUGCGUGCGUGCGUGCGUGCGUGCGUGCGUGCACACGUACGAGCAUAAACGUCCUUGGCUCUCAGUUCCUGUGUGGUCUGCGAGGGGGAGGGGAGCACCUGCCUGCCUAGGUACUUGGGUCGGUAUAUGGGGAGACCCAGGAAGGAAGUCCUAGGACAGCCUGCCUCUGGCUCACGGCAGACACUCAGUGACCACGAAUUAGCUGUGGUGCAUGGCAUUCCACUCAAGUCAUGGUGCCGUUAGCAGAGGCCACCGUGAGAGCGUCGCUUCUCAGAAGGGCUCCGGACCCUGCUAAACCCGGUGACCUGCACUCCACUCUGUCCUGACACCUCUGUUCUAGCCGUGCCGUGUGCCUCUAUUCUUCUUCGUCUAGACUCACAAAAGACUCACAAAUCUCCUAGCCAUUGGGUUCCACAGAAUGGAGAGCCUGAACCUAUCAGGAAGCCAAGUCUAGACCAAAAGGACUUUGAAGAUCAUCCUACAAACUUUGGUGCUGGCCAUGGGAGGGUAUCCAGGGGAGGCACCCGAGGCUCCCUGGCAGGCAGAAGCUGGAGGUGCUGAGCUAUGUUCUCCCAUAGCUUCAAAGCCUGUGCUGCAUGAGUAAAGGCUGUUUCUGAGUGAAGGGUCCCCAGUAGGUGUCGGGGGACCCAAGGACGCUGACCAGGUUGUUUCCUAGGCUGUCCCCUGAUCCAUGACAAGGGUCCAGUUAUGGUGCCCUUGCUCUGUCACCACAGGCAGUUUACACUCUACUUACUGACAGAGUACUGAACAAGAGCAGGACUCUAAAGACUGGGACUCCUGACUCCUUCAUGAAUUCUGGAACUCUCUGAGGUGCUGCCUAAAGUUGGAAGAGAAGCUUGCCGAGGGUACCACGGUGGGAAUGGAGGCAGCGACGUACAGACCUUUGCAGGGACGUCAGCUCCUGUCCGCUGAGGGCCCUGGCACGAAGCUGACAGCCCAUGCAAGCUGGUGGGGCGCUCCUUUGAUUUGUCUCAGGGUGCUCCAGACUACCAUGAUUUCAGCCUGGGGAGACAUCUUGGCUUGGCUGGAAGGGUCUCCACCAGGAGCCCAGGCUCCAACCUGCAGGAAACAAAUUCCUGUGGGGAAGUCCUGCUGCUCCACGGAAGCAGUUUUCCCGGUGUCAUCUGCUUACCUGCCAAGAUUAGUCCCUGAGAGGAUGCCAAUUUCUCUGUCUUCUCUACUUGUCCCUAAAAGAUCCCAAGAAGAAUUCAGCCCCUGAGAGCUGGGGAAGGGUGCCUGAGGACUUUCCAGCAAGUAGCAUUUGUAUUGAAGGCCUGUUCCUCAGGGCUUGCUCUCAGGGAAGCGCAAGGUUCCACUGCUUUGUCUUCCCUAACGGCCCACAGGUGUCUCCGUGUCUCUGUCCUUGUACCUGUCACACAGCCAUUCCACCCCUCUUUGCCUCUGCCCCAGCUGGCCUUGGAGCCUCUGAAAUGCCAGGAGCUGUCUUAGAGCCAUGCUAGGGGAGUAGGGUGGCCAGCUGGGGUCCCAGCUGAGGGCCUGGGUGGAGAACACCCAACGCUCACUAGCCGUUGGGUUUGGGGAAAGGUGGUUUUAAGAGUGAGUGAAAUCUGGCCUGAUUCUCAUCCCCACUCCCUGAUACUUAGCACUGCUGCCCUUUACCUUAAAAAUGGAGACAGGGUCCCCAACUCCCCACUGCACCGCGAAAUCAGAGGUGAAAGAACUUGGUAAAAUCGCCAGUGCGACACACGUAGGGAGUUGUUAUGUUAAAGAACCCCAGCCCGCUUCAUGACUGUCACAGGACAAACACAGGAUUGCUCUACCACUUAGAGGCCCAGCUCCUCCUAACUGUGCUGCUUCCCAGGUGAGCUUCCCUGUGUUGCUGCCUCUCAGUGACGGCUCCUUUACCUGUGAAAUGGGAGUGGGGUUGCCAGGGCAAUGCUUUGCAUCUUAACUCAGCGGCAUGAUUGUUGGUAAUGCUUUGUAGUACCAGGGGUUAAAUGAGCAUUAAGAUGCUUUCCUGAAGGGUGAUUUCUAGAAGUGACCCAGUCUUUGGUAUGAUGUAGGAAUUGAGUAAUCCUAAAUCUGUCCUUUGUGGUCAUUAAGUACGGUGCCUGCCCUAUAAGAUUCAGCGUAGGUCUCUAGCUCAGAGAUUGACAAACUUUCACCAUAGAGGGGCAGAUGUUAAAAAUUUUCAGCUUUGCAGGCCAUGGGUCUCUACUACUAAAGCAGCCACAGACAAGACAUAAAUACGUGGUCACCUCUGUGUUCCAAUAAAACUUUAUUUACAAAAUCAUGUAGGCUGUGUUGACCGUGGUUUGCUGACCCCUGCUUUAGCUUAUGGUAGGUGCCCCUCUAGAACCUGGGAAAUUAAAUUGUUGAAGAUAGUUGAGCAGAGGCCUCCACUUGUCCAGAUCCUGGAUUCUAACUGUUUACAUAGGCCCAGAUCUAUGUUCCUGCUGCAGGGUCACAGCAACAAGACCCUCACCUCUUCUUCACUCCCUCCCCAGCCUUUGAGAAAUCGCAGGCCCAUUCAAUGCAGCUGCUUAAUGGAGAGCAGAGUUUCUGUGCCUCCUGGAUCUGUUCCCGUCCCCUCCCCAUCCGGGGCCUUUCCCCUCCAUCCCAACUUUGUGGGACACACAAUUUGUAAUCUCCUUAAAACCAAAGAUGCAAGGUCUCUGAUUCGUGUAGUUUAAAAUCAGCUGCAACCUAUUAAUGGCCCAGAGCCCCAAGACAGAUUUUAGGAAACAAAAACACUGGACCAAAUUAGGCUGAACUGGCCCCUGUCUCCAGGGGAGGGAGACGGAGGAGGAGGCUGGGGUGGGGGAGUGGCCAUGUGGUUUCAAUUAAUUUGGUUCUCUUCCUAAAGCUAAUUCACCCAACACAAAGCAUGUGCAGCGCCAUAGCAGCGGCCGGCCUCAGUAGCCCUGCUUUCCCUGGUAGAAGCCCUGGGCCUUUUUGGGGGGGCUGGAGCUGGGGUUGGUUGUGUAUCUAUAAUUAACAGGUUUCAAAGUGGUUAUUUUGGAAAAGAGAAUUUCAGUGGUGCGUUAAAAUCCUUUCAUCAGCCAUCAGCUGGCGUCCCAAGGCCUUCAACAAGGUCCUUGCCACUUAAAGGCUUGAGAGCAUGCUGAAUUCCCAGGAUCUUGCUGGAGAAUGUGGAGGCUUUCGCCAUGGGUUUUAUGAGGCAAAUGGUUGCCAUGAUUUUCAUUAUGUUGUUUGAUUACUGGGAUCAUAAAAAUGUUUCUCUCUUCCUAGAAUACCUAGGGUCAUUAUAACGAAAAGCUUUGCUUUACAGAAGUUGCAUAACACACAAGCGAGCCAUGGCCCUGUCAUGGGAAGAGGGAUGGCUCUAGCACUGGCUGGGGAAAUGAUGAGGCUGAGAGAGCCUGGGCUGUUGGCCGACACCCAGGCCUGACUGUGAGCUGAGGAAACUGAGGCCCAGAGGGAUCUUGUGGCUGAAGCCAGUCUGGGAUAUUCUGAUGGUCCUCCCUGUCAGGUGUUCUUUCUCUUCCCAGUGACUCAAGGUUGAGAAUAGAGUUGGGAUCCUCAGAGUCAGAGGCAGCUUAAAGUCAAAGGCCGAGGUGGACAGAGGAACGAUCCCCACGAGUACGGCACUGAGGGAGCGCUCCUCUGAGCCUGGAAAGGCAGCACCACAGCUCUGAGAGGAAAGGGUCACUUGAGCCCUCAAGUGGCACCCAUGGCCUGAGCUGUGGAGAGGAGGCAACUAGAUACCAAGCCCCACAAACCACAGAGAUGAUUUUUUUACUGCUGUGAAUCUGAAACCUGGUCAAGUUCCCAGAAUCACCAUAGAGUGUGACAGGAACUUUGGUUGAGCUUGUGUUAUCUGAUAAAUGCAACAUUAUACUGGCUUUACUUCAUAUUUCUAUAAUGGCUACCUUCCAGAACCUUCUGUCAUGGAAGACAAAACAUAUUCUGGAAGAGUUGCUGUUAAAUAACCUCUGGUGCUUAAAAAGAGUAGAAGAGCUUUAAAGAAACAGGCCCUGCACUCAGUUGGACACUUGUAAGACUAGUCCACAACAAAGCCAUGAAACGCGUUCAGUGAAUUAGAGGGUGCCAGAGCUGGGAGAGAAAUUGAAGCCCAGCUAGGCCAGGCUUUCAUUGUACAGACAAGAAAACUGAGGCUUCAGGGCAUGUCCAAAGUUAUAUAAUUGGCACAGAGAGUCUAGCCCAUGAUCCCUGACUCUCAGCACAAGGUUGGUCAGCUAACCUAUGCUUUACCACAUCAUUGCUCCCCUUUCAGCUUGACACGUUCAUUUAUUCAUUCAAUAUUUAUUGACCGCCUCCUGUGUGUUAGACGUUUCUAGGUGUUGCUGAUUUUAUUUCUUUGAAAUAAGAAGAUGCAUUUCUAUGGAACCCAUUAAAGAAGAAAUUCCCUUCCCAAAUCCAUAUUUUAGGAAAGUCAGGUGGCUUUUAUGAACUUGGGGGGUCAAUGGGAGGAAUACCUGGCAUUCUGGGUGUGCCUCUCAGAUGGGUACAAAAUAUCAUUGUAUAAGGGUGAGACCUACCUAGGCUACCUCUGCUCGAAGCCACCUCUUUUCCCAGCAGACACCAGGGCAGUGUAGCCCAAAGGAUUCUGGGAAUGGAAAUCAAAGGGAAUUCUCUGGAUCCAAGUUUGAAUGCGUUUCAGUGGGAAGCCAGGCCAGUUGAAGGCAUACAGGUUGCACAGGUCUCUCCGUCUGUUUCCCAUCAUUUUCCUCCUACAGUUUGCUUGUCGGUCCUUUGCUCUUGUUUGCCUCUGUGUGAAUAAUUCCUCGAUUGUAAAUCAGAGAACUUGGCACUGAGUUUUGGAUUAUCUGUGGUCUUUAACUUUCCCAGGGCAGAAGAAAUGAAACCAGCAAAUCUCUUUGUUUCUCAUGGUUCAGCCUCCAAAUCGGGAAAGUACUGAACUGUGUAGGGUGAGCCCUGCCUGAGCCUACUCGGCCCCCACCAUUCACUGAAGGUAAUCAGUCAUGCAGGGAUCCACCCAUCCACCCAACAAAUAUUCAGAGAGCACCUAUGUGGCAGGCUCUGCUCUAGAAGUGUUUCUCGUUAGCCUGUUGACAUCUUAGUGCUAGUGAAAGUAAGCAAACAGUCCAAAGAAACAUAUGCAGGAAUAUCUGGUGUUCUCAGGGAUUGGUCCCAAGACUUCCGCAGAUACCAAGGUCCACAGAUGCUCAAGUUCCUUAGAUAAGAUGGCCGUGUAUUUGCCUUUCACACAUGCAUGUCCUCCCACAUACUUUACAUCAUCUCUAGAUGAUUUGUAACACCCACUACAGUUGUCCGUGUUCUGUAAAUAGCUGUUAUGCUGCGCCAAGAAGGAAUAAUGACAAAGAAAACUUUCUAUACCUGUUCAGUGCAGAUGUAACUCUUUUUUCUGAGUGUUUUCAGUCCAUGGUUGCUUGAAUCGACAGCGGCAGAACUUGCACACGCAGGGGACUGACUAUAUACAUGUGCUAAGGGCCUUAAAGAAAGUAGAGCCCGUGGGAGACGGCAGGGCGGAGUGCACUAUUCGCGACAUGGAAGCGGAGGCUGGGUGAAAGGAGAGGAAGCCACAGUCAGUCCAGGAAGAGCAUUCCAGGAGGAAGGAAUAGCCAAUGCAAAGACAGAGACCGUUUGACGUGUCUGGGAACAGCACGGAAGAGGAAGCCAGAGACAAGACCAAGUGAACAACGGCGAUAACCGUGCUCCUCAGGUCAGAGUGUAGGUUGCGCUGAGCAGCAUGGGAUGUCCUUGGCAGCUAUAGAGUAGGGGUUGAUGCAGCAGAGCUGAACAUUCAGAGCCUGCACGGAGGCCGAUGAGACAGCGGCCUCAGACACGCGGCACUGGUGGCUGUGUCGCUCGGGAGGAGCAGCGGGUGGAAGCUUGUGAGAGCUACACGUCCUGGCAGGGCGAGGCUGGGUCUGGGCGCUCACCGCUCUGGUUGGUCUUUAAGCCCCGAAAAAGGAAACACUGCUUUCCCAAUAGUAGGACUGGGUCUGGUGAGUCGGAAUCCUCAGCCAUCUGGACCUCUGGGAGGUUGCUGGUGCAGGUUUCGAGCCCCCAGCUGGCCUGUUUGGCCCUCAUCAGGGUCUUGGUUGGGGCCUCCAGACUGCGAAGACACGGGCUCAAAUACAGACCCAGCCUUGAGGGAGUCUGGCUUUGCUUCUGGCUGACUGUGUGCUGUCUGCUCAGCUUCCCUCCGGAGCCCUUUCACUAAACACAGGCCGGCUCAGCCCAGCCAGAGGGAAAGGCGAGGCCCGCACGCUGGGUUCCAUCCUCCGCAAGGCGCAGCCCCACCUUGUCACCUCUCUGGCAUUUGGAAGAAGUACCAAGCCUAGGCCUGCAUAGCUACAUUUAUAUCAACUAAGAUGAAAUAAAAUUAAAUCUGCUGUUCUUCAGUUCCCCUUCUACGUUUCAAGCGCUUGAUAGCCACACAGGGGUGGGGCGGCCACGUUACAGGACAAUGCAGACGUAGCACAUUUCCGUUGCGGCAGGAAGUGCUGUCGGACGGUUUUCACUUCUUUCGAAAGGGAAGAAUCCAAGAGAUUUGAGCAAGUGAACAUGCACAAAGCACAGGGCAUCUUGCCUGCCCCCUCACAGGGACCAGCAAAAGAUAGUCCCACGACGUACACCGGAACGUCCACACACUGCUCUGCUGCGGCCGACCGUGUGGCAGGCCAACCUCUCCUAGGUUCAGUUUCCUGAUAUGUAAACUGGGAGUAAUAUGAACUUCUGAGUGACUCCUCCAGCACCACAUGGUCCCCACUUUUCUCAUGUCUCCCUGGGGCUGGGAGACCUUGACCCUUGCAGCUGCCUUAUCCAGACCAGAAUUAGGAAGCCCCCAUCCUCCUUUGAAGCAAGUGGACAAGUCCGAUGAACAAAAAGAAUCACUUUGACCCCAGUGAGAUACUGACCCGACAGUACUGAUGCUGGGCGAGAAGCCAUGCCUGCCUCCCUGGCCCAGGCCUCUCCUUUCCGCCUGUGGUCCCCGCUGGGGUGUGGCUCCUGGAGAGAGGCCCUCAAGCAGCCCUUCUGCUAUCUCGGUCUCCAUCAGUUUUCCUUUCCACACAGUUGGGGUUUUGUUGUUAAAUGUUUCUUAAGGACAGGCAUUCAGUGGGUAGAGUCAGGGAUUUGCCUGGGGCUGGAAGGAAGUUAUCUGCCAGGUCAGGAUGAGGUGUGGCUUAAGAAUUAGAGCUGGAAUUCCCUUCACCUGCUUCAUGCAUUUCGGGGAAGAUUUGCUUUCAAGUCCCAAAUGACCUGCUAGUAUUUCUAGACCUGAGAUCCUAUCUCCGCUGGCUGUUUUGUUUCACUUCUGGUAAGAAAGACAAAGAAAAAAGAAAGAGAGGCUCAAGAACAACAUUCCUAUAUUCCCCUAAAUAAAAUUUCACAGCCGGAGUGAUUUGCUUCACUGUUUCUGAAAAGCAGUGGAGAGGGGCCUCAGAGCCCCGUCCCCUGGAGGCCCAGCUGGGGCCUGGCGUGGUGAGUGUAGCUGGUGCUCCGGAAACUCAGGGAGCGGCGCCAACUUUCUGUGUCUGAUGGAACUUCUAAAUCUCUCCUCCCUUCAAGCUGGUCCACCUGCAACCUUUUCUUCUUGCACAUCCCACUUCCACACUGCUGGGGAGUCCUGUGGGCUCCCCCUUCAAAAUCCAACCAAAAUCCAACGGCUUCCACCAACCCCACUGGCAAGGUCCUGCCUCUUCCCCGGGUCAGCUGCAAUGAACUCUUAGUGGUCUUCUCCUUCCCACUCUUCCUACUUCCACUCACCCUCAGAUAUAUUCCCAACGUAACAGCCAAGUCGGGUCCCAUCCCCCUCUCCCUGAAACCCUUCCAAAUGACUUCCAAAUGGUUCCCAUCCCGUUCAGAGCGAAAGCCACAGUUCUCAGCGUGACCGCAGAGGCCCUAAAUCACGCGCUCCCGUUAGCGCGCCGACCUGCCUUCCCCAUCUCCCCCUCACUCAUUCCUCUCCAGCCGCAUCAGCCUUCUCGCUUUCUUCAAACACGCCAGAUGUGUGUCCACCUCAGGGACUUGGCGGCAGCUGCUCCCUCACCUUUCCGAGCCUUUUCCCGAUUUCUCCUCAGCGCGGCUGACCUGACCCGGAGCAUCCUCAUUCAUCUCGGAAGCUGUCUGUACCUCCUCGUGUUCCCGCGACCUCCUUGGCCUGACCCUCCCUCUCCCCGCUUAUCAUUAACGUACAGCGUGUCUCCCUUAUAUGUUUAUGGUUUCUCUUCCUCCUCCUAGGGCGAUAAGCUCCAUUAGGACAGGGACUUCGGGCUGUUUGCUCAUGAACAGCUCACAGCUGCUCUUCGCUUCCCACUGGUGACGUGCUCUCGGAGACAGGGACUGUCCAGGCAGUCAGACCUGAGAAUGAUUAGAGCUAAAGCAAGCCCAAGCUCUGCCGUGCAAACAUCUCCAAGGCUAAGGGAGGGUUAAAACUCCCAGGGGUCUUCAGUGAGCCAAAUUCAGAGGAAGCAGGGUACAGGAAGUGAAUCCCAGCUUGUGGAAGUAAGGGAACAAGAAGUAACCAAGAAAUGCUGGUAGACAUGGACAACAGGAAGUGAAUAAAAUAAACAGCAAUGACUUUUUAAA